CAAAGUUUGAAACAUCACAAAGUUGGAAAUUUGAAUUGAAUUUGAGCCGAGUGAUGGCUGUCAGUCAAAUUAAAAAUUUUGUUGUGAUGAUCCUAGUAUUAAUGUUUAUCAUAAUACAAGCUGAAAGCAUCACUCAAUCUCAAGAAUUAAAGUUAAACAACGGUAAUGAACCUUACUGCACUAUAAGGUGUCGCGGUAUGUGUAUUAGAAAUCCUCCAGUCCGCGAUUUUGAUGCGUGUGUGGCAGACUGUAGGAAAAAGAAUUGCGAACAAUAUCAUAUCUCUUUGCAUGACAAGGUGCUGGAGUAUUGAUGCAUACAUAUACUGCUUCAUCCUUGAUAAGUUCUAGCAAAUAAUAAAUAAAUUUCGUGUAUGCUUUGUGAGAUCAUAUGCAGUAAAAUGUAAUCGAGAAAUUGACAUUUUGCAAAAUUUACAUAUAUAAUUAUAACUCAUUAUGUCUUUUUCUUUA